rnacentral:rRNA from 1 species
UACGUAGGGGGCAAGCGUUGUCCGGAAUCAUUGGGCGUAAAGCGCGUGUAGGCGGUCCGGUAAGUCCGCUGUGAAAGCCCAGGGCUCAACCCUGGGAUGCCGGUGGAUACUGUCGGGCUAGAGUACGGAAGAGGCGAGUGGAAUUCCCGGUGUAGCGGUGAAAUGCGCAGAUAUCGGGAGGAACACCAAUUGCGAAGGCAGCUCGCUGGGACGUUACUGACGCUGAGACGCGAAAGCGUGGGGAGCAAACAGG